AAGUCGUAACAAGGUAACCGUAGGUGAACCUGCGGUUGGAUCAUUACAAAAUUGGUUUUAUACCAAACUUUUUGUGCACUAUAUCUGUCUCUGGUGGCUCUCGUGCUGAGAACUUCCAACGGUUCUUGGCCUGCUUAGUUGCUGGGUCACCAAUGGUGGGCUAUUAUUUUGAUGGCCCAUGAACAACAUUUAAUUUAUAUAUUGUCUGAAACUUCACUUAUGUGAAUUUGAAAACAACUUUUGACAACGGAUCUCUUGGCUCUC
rnacentral:misc_RNA from 1 species